GUAGCUAACGCAUUAAGCGCCCCGCCUGGGGAGUACGGCCGCAAGGCUAAAACUCAAAGGAAUUGACGGGGGCCCGCACAAGCGGCGGAGCAUGCGGAUUAAUUCGAUGCAACGCGAAGAACCUUACCAAGGCUUGACAUACACCGGAAACGGCCAGAGAUGGUCGCCCCCUUGUGGUCGGUGUACAGGUGGUGCAUGGUUGUCGUCAGCUCGUGUCGUGAGAUGUUGGGUUAAGUCCCGCAACGAGCGCAACCCUCGUUCUAUGUUGCCAGCGGGUUAUGCCGGGGACUCAUAGGAGACUGCCGGGGUCAACUCGGAGGAAGGUGGGGAUGACGUCAAAUCAUCAUGCCCCUUAUGUCUUGGGCUUCACGCAUGCUACAAUGGCCGGUACAAAGGGCUGCGAUACCGUAAGGUGGAGCGAAUCCCAAAAAGCCGGUCUCAGUUCGGAUUGAGGUCUGCAACUCGACCUCAUGAAGUCGGAGUCGCUAGUAAUCGCAGAUCAGCAACGCUGCGGUGAAUACGUUCCCGGGCCUUGUACACACCGCCCGUCAAGUCAUGAAAGU
rnacentral:rRNA from 1 species